GGCUAUAAAUCGCGAAUAUACUUUACUCUUCAUCCUCCUGAAAGCUGCGGUGUUCCUAUGGGGAGUGAGUGGUCAGGAUACAGUCUCACAGUCGCCACUCUCUGUGACUGUUUGGGAGAAGGAACAAGUGUUUAUCAGCUGUUCCACAACAGAUACCAGUCAGACCUUACAAUGGUACAGACAGUAUCCGAACCAGGCUCUCACACACUUGGUAA